rnacentral:rRNA from 1 species
UACGAAGGGGCUAGCGCUGUUCGGAAUUACUGGGCGUAAAGCGCACGUAGGCGGGUUGUUAAGUCAGGGGUGAAAUCCUGGAGCUCAACUCCAGAACUGCCUUUGAUACUGGCAACCUAGAGACUGGAAGAGGUUAGUGGAAUUCCCAGUGUAGAGGUGAAAUUCGUAGAUAUUGGGAAGAACACCAGUGGCGAAGGCGGCUAACUGGUCCAGCACUGACGCUGAGGUGCGAAAGCGUGGGGAGCAAACAGG